rnacentral:rRNA from 1 species
UACGUAGGGUGCAAGCGUUGUCCGGAAUUAUUGGGCGUAAAGAGCUCGUAGGCGGUCUGUCACGUCGGAUGUGAAAAUCCAGGGCUUAACCCUGGACCUGCAUUCGAUACGGGCAGACUAGAGUUCGGUAGGGGAGACUGGAAUUCCUGGUGUAGCGGUGAAAUGCGCAGAUAUCAGGAGGAACACCGGUGGCGAAGGCGGGUCUCUGGGCCGAAAUUGACGCUGAGGAGCGAAAGCGUGGGGAGCAAACAGG